GCAGGAGUAGCGAAGCGGUCAAACGUGACAGACUCAAGAUCUGUUGGCUUAACGCGUGACGGCGCCGAUGUAUGGCGAUGGAACGCGGGCGAUGCGCCUUCGAAGGUUCAAAUCCUUCCUCCUGCA
rnacentral:tRNA from 1 species